AUUGAACGCUGGCGGCAUGCCUUACACAUGCAAGUCGAACGGCAGCACGGGGGCAACCCUGGUGGCGAGUGGCGAACGGGUGAGUAACAUAUCGGAACAUACCCUAGAGUGGGGGAUAACGUAGCGAAAGUUACGCUAAUACCGCAUACGAUCUAAGGAUGAAAGUGGGGGAUCUUCGGACCUCAUGCUCAUGGAGUGGCCGAUAUCUGAUUAGCUAGUUGGUGAGGUAAAGGCUCACCAAGGCGACGAUCAGUAGCUGGUUUGAGAGAACGACCAGCCACACUGGAACUGAGACACGGUCCAGACUCCUACGGGAGGCAGCAGUGGGGAAUUUUGGGACAAUGGGGGCAACCCUGAUCCAGCAAUGCCGCGUGAGUGAAGAAGGCCUUCGGGUUGU
rnacentral:rRNA from 1 species